rnacentral:ncRNA from 1 species
CUGGUUUGUGGUACCCAAGCAUUGAUAGUAAAGUCACUUUUUGAUUCUUCAGUGUUGGUUCUUUCUGUUAUUGUGAAGCAGAAUUCACCAAGUGUUGGGCUGUUCACCCAAUAAUAAAGAACAUGAGCUGGGCUUAGACUGCCGUGGACAAGUC